CACGUAGGGCGCGAGCGUUGUCCGGAAUUAUUGGGCGUAAAGAGCUCGUAGGCGGCCUGUUGCGUCCGCUGUGAAAGCCCGGGGCUUAACCCCGGGUCGGCAGUGGAUACGGGCAGGCUAGAGGUAGGUAGGGGAGAAUGGAAUUCCCGGUGUAGCGGUGAAAUGCGUAGAUAUCGAGAGGAACACCAGUGGCGAAGGCGAGUCCCUGGACAACUUCUGACGCUGAGGCACGAAAGCUAGGGGAGCAAACAGG
rnacentral:rRNA from 1 species